rnacentral:rRNA from 1 species
GACGAACGCUGGCGGCGUGCCUAAUACAUGCAAGUAGAACGCUGAAGGAGGAGCUUGCUUCUCUGGAUGAGUUGCGAACGGGUGAGUAACGCGUAGGUAACCUGCCUGGUAGCGGGGGAUAACUAUUGGAAACGAUAGCUAAUACCGCAUAAUAGCAGUUGUUGCAUGACAACUGUUUGAAAGGUGCAAUUGCACCACUACCAGAUGGACCUGCGUUGUAUUAGCUAGUUGGUGGGGUAACGGCUCACCAAGGCGACGAUACAUAGCCGACCUGAGAGGGGGAUCGGCCACACUGGGACUGAGACACGGCCCAGACUCCUACGGGAGGCAGCAGUAGGGAAUCUUCGGCAAUAGACGGAAGUCUGACCGAGCAACGCCGCGUGAGUGAAGAAGGUUUUCGGAUCGUAAAGCUCUGUUGUAAGAGAAGAACGAGUGUGAGAGUGGAAAGUUCACACUGUGACGGUAUCUUACCAGAAAGGGACGGCUAACUACGUG